rnacentral:rRNA from 1 species
GUUCAAAACUCAUUUUAUAAAAACACUUUUUCAGAUAAAAACUCAUCAAAUAAAAAUAAAAAUAAAUAAAUAAAUAAAAUGACAGCAGGGUUUCAAUAAAAAACAAAAAGUUAAAGGGGGG